GCCUUGGGUUGUCUCCACCAUGGCCUGGGCUCCUCUCCUGCUCACAUUUCUGGCUCACUGCACAGGAGUUACUUCUCAGAAUGUGGUAAUUCAAGAACCAUCACUGUCUACAAAUCCUGGGGGCACAGUUACUCUUAUCUGUGGCUCCAGCACUAUGGCUGUUACUACCAGUAUUGCUGCCAACUGGAUUCAACAGAAGCACUACCAGAAACCCUGGGGUCUAAUAAGUAGAACCAGUAGACAUCCAGACGUUCCAGCUCGAUUCUCUGGCUCCCUGCUUGGAAACAAGGCAGUCCUCACCAUCACUGGAGCCAAGGAAGAGGACGAGGCUGAGUAUUUCUGUGCUCUGUGGUUCAGCAACCAUUUCCACAGUGACAGAUACAGAUGGGGAAAUGAGACCUAA